rnacentral:rRNA from 1 species
UACAGAGGGUGCGAGCGUUAAUCGGAAUUACUGGGCGUAAAGCGCGCGUAGGCGGCUUUGCAAGUCGGGUGUGAAAUCCCCAGGCUUAACCUGGGAACUGCAUUCGAGACUGCAUUGCUAGAGUAUGGGAGAGGGAAGUGGAAUUUCCGGUGUAGCGGUGAAAUUCGUAGAUAUCGAGAGGAACACCGGUGGCGAAGGCGGCCUUCUGGACGAUUACUGACGCUGAGACGCGAAAGCGUGGGGAGCAAACAGG